UAGCUCAAUCGGUAGAGUAUGAGACUCUUAAUCUCAGGGUUGUGGGUUCGAGCCCAAC
rfam:Schistosoma curassoni strain Dakar, Senegal genome assembly, scaffold: SCTD_scaffold0000592